UUAUUUUUUUUUGCUGGCAGCUUUACUCUGAGAACGAGGGAGCGAUCCGAAAUGCGUGUUCUGUCUGUGUUUCGUAUUGGCUGUGCUUCUUCCUGUCGGUUCGCUUUACUCUGCUAUACUCUCCCGCUAAUGGCACGUUUCCUAUGGAAAACCUCUGACAGCGUUCUGGUUAUAAAGGGACCACCCGGAACAGUUAGUCAUGGUGGAGGUCAGAUAUACCUCAGUAAGAAAAUACAUCACAGAACAUCACUGUUUUCUUGUUUACAUUUAAAGGCGUUUUUAACAGAGCAGCUGGGCGUUUGGCUUCUUUGCAUCUCGUUAUACUUCUGCACCUGUUGCUGACACAUUGUUUUCAACCCUGUAAAAGGAGCAGGUGAGUAUUUUUAGCUUCACUAUGUGACACCUUCUUUAUGGUGGAGCAAACUAUAAAACAGGAUUCUCA